UAGUCUUUGUGGAACCCACCGUGAGAUGGCGCCACCUUCUCCAAAUAAUUACCGACUUCAAAAUUGAAUUAAGUCUUUAUGGAUCCCACCGUGAGAUGGCGCCACUUUCUCCAAAUAAUUACCGACUUCAAAAUUGAAUGAAGAAAAAGCGCUGAUGGACGAUAGCUCAAUAGGUGAAAAGAAUAUUUCUACAAGGUUUUAAAUAGAGGACGAGAAAGAUGGAGUAAUCCAAGGGAAUGAAGCAGCUAGUGAUGGAAAGCCUAAAAAAUGGAGAAUUUAUCGAAUUACCCGGAUAGAAUCGCCGAAACGUUCAAAUCAAAACGUUUUUAUCACACGUUUUUUAAAUUCUUCGUUGUUUCAACAUAAAAAAACUUUUCCUCUUCAUCAGAAAGGAAAAGAUCCCGCUUCGAGAUUAAAGGAAGUUUUCGAUAACCCGGAAAGAUAAUAAAAAAUCAUUACCUAACUUGUUUAAACAUGUUUCUCUUGAUUAUUGGUUGUUUGAAAAAGUGUUGAAUUGAUGUUUAUUUUUGAAUAAAUUUCACUAAACAAA